UUACCCAAUGGCCAUGUGGUGCAUUCACUCUAAUACUCUGAGAGCACAUCCAUUGGAGUGGUCCUACUAGCUAGCACGGUGCACUGGACACAAUGGACCAACACUCUGACUCAGGGGAAAGAACUGUAUAGGAUAUUGUGUAUGCAACUGCUUGAGGCUCAAACCCUGGCCAGUGUUGACUGGGGGAAUGGGGGAUUUGAAGACAGAAUCCUCCCCCACCAUGGGGAAGCUUGACCUGGGGUAUGGUCAACUCCCUAAUGUUAGCCCGACCCCUCCUGGGGGGCAUCACAUUGAUAGUUUCAACACACACGUGUAGAGGAGCUGUGUCAGAAUAAUGUCUUCACAAGGGAACACAAGUUUCCCACGGAUGAGGACCGCCUCACUGACUUCCAUUAUCAUCUCUUGUUUGUGAUGAGAUAAAGAUCACCUUCUGUUGUGUGCCUAAAGUAGCGUGGUGAUGGAGUUGCUGACUCAGUGAUCACUCGACUGAGACAACAUCCUCUGCCGCUGCUAAGUCCGUUGCUAGGCUACACCAUCGGACAAAACCCACCAUACAUCGUGACCUCAAGGUCAGUACAGUGGAAUCUCUUUAUAACAUAAUUAUUUGUGGAGCAGAGUUUUAGCCAUUGUACAAAGGUGACCUUUGUUGAGGGGUGGUUUUAAUUGUACACAAACUGUUCAUUUGGGACCAGUGUUUCCCCUAUGUGUUGAAGAAGGAGCACCCUGUUUGAAUAGCUAAUUGAGUUAGUGGGAUUCUCACAGUAUUCUCCCAAUUCAAUUACCUUACUGUGUUUUGCAAGUUGCUUGUCAUUGUGCACAGUAAAUGAGCCUUGUCUGUAGUAAAGUGAAUGUGUCUAUUCAAAAAAAAAAAAUUAAUUUGCUAACUUAGUUAGCUAAGCUGUUAGUGUAUAUGCACAUGCAGUACUCUGCCACAGUAGUACUAUAGACAACGCCCAUUUACUGUGCACAAUGACAAGCAACUUGCAAAACACAGUACAUGUACUUUUUGAGGGCUAAUAUUUUCUGGCUAAACUGCGAGAUAAAAUUAGACCUUUGAACAAAAUUCCCCGCUAUAAGGUGCUAUCAAUGGUAGAUUCUCUUAACUACUCUUGGUGGUAUGGAAACUCAAAUGGAUUUGAAGUGGAGAAUGGGCUGGG